CUUACACAUGCAAGUCGAACGCGAACGUUUCCUUCGGGAAACUAGUAGAGUGGCGCACGGGUGAGUAACGCGUAAGUAAUCUACCCUCGCAUCUGGGAUAACCCACCGAAAGGUGUGCUAAUACCUGAUACGUCUGGAAUUAUACUUUGAAUCUAGAGAAAGGUGGCCUCUUCAUGAAAGCUACUGUGCGGGGAGGAGCUUGCGUACCAUUAGCUAGUUGGUAGGGUAACGGCCUACCAAGGCGAUGAUGGUUAGCGGGUCUGAGAGGAUGAUCCGCCACACUGGAACUGGAACACGGACCAGACUCCUACGGGAGGCAGCAGUGAGGAAUAUUGCGCAAUGGGGGCAACCCUGACGCAGCGACGCCGCGUGGAUGAUGAAGGCCUUCGGGUUGUAAAAUCCUGUCAGAUGGGAAGAAGUGCUAUAGUGUUAAUAUCAUUAUAGUUUGACGGUACCAUCAAAGGAAGCACCGGCUAACUCCGUGCCAGCAGCCGCGGUAAUACGGAGGGUGCAAGCGUUGUUCGGAAUUACUGGGCGUAAAGCGCGCGUAGGCGGCUAUUCAAGUCAGAUGUGAAAGCCCGCGGCUCAACCGUGGAAGUGCAUUUGAAACUGUGUAGCUUGAGUACUGGAGGGGGUAGUGGAAUUCCCGGUGUAGAGGUGAAAUUCGUAGAUAUCGGGAGGAAUACCGGUGGCGAAAGCGACUACCUGGCCAGAUACUGACGCUGAGGUGCGAAAGCGUGGGGAGCAAACAGGAUUAGAUACCCUGUAGUCCACGCCGUAAACGAUGUCAACUAGUGUUGGGAUGGUUAAUCGUCUCAUUGCCGAGCUAACGCAUUAAGUUGACCGCCUGGGGAGUACGGUCGCAGAUUAAACUCAAGGAAUUGAC
rnacentral:rRNA from 1 species